GAAGGACAGGUUGGUGAGAACAUGAUUUAAGUUGGUAUCUACUUCCUGUCCGAGUGAGUCACUGCACAAAACAUUCAAACUUCUUUCGACCACUGAGAGCUGCUGUGUUGUUUACAACCAUCGAACAUAAAGAAGAAAACAGUUCAACUGUAAAAAAGACGAAAUGUGUUUGGAAAAAAGGUGGAGAGAGGCCCUGACCUCCAUCCUGGAGGAGCUGGACGACUCACAGUUCAGGAAGCUGCUGUUCUCUUUGGACAAAAUUCCAAAAAGUCUGAAGUCCAAGUCCAGAGAAGAAAUGCCGCAAAUCAUCAUCGAGAAAUACGGAGUAGAAGAAUCCAUCAAUGAAAUAGAUGCAAAGAUGCAAGAGUUACCGAGGUUGGACAGUAAAGUCCAGGACCUGUUGCAGCCCUUUGUGAGGGAAGUGCAGAGUUUACGCUGAGAUCAAGAACUGAUGCAGUCGGACCAGUGACAACCAAACAAAGACAGGAAGUGACUUCUCUAUGUUAGACUACAGUGAUGUUAUUUACAGACCUGAUCCCAAACAUCUGGAUUCUGUCCAUCACUCAGCUCUUUAUUAGCCCUCACUGUGUCCUGUAUCAACAUCUGUAAUAAAGGGAGUGUGAGUAAAAACGUAAA